UGCCCCCAGCAGACACCUGUCUGAUGCAGGUGUUGUGUUAUGAUGCUGCCAUGGGCCCCUGGCUCCUGGGCGGUGUGGUCCUUUGUCUUCUGGGAGCAGGCCCCCUGGAAGCCCAGGUGACCCAGACCCCCAGAUUCCUCAUCACCAAGACUGGAAAGAAGUUGACAGUCACUUGUUCUCAGAAUAUGAACCAUGACUGUAUGUACUGGUAUCGACAAGACCCAGGGCUGGGUCUCAAGCUGAUCUAUUUUUCAAUUAACGUUCAGAUGGUCGAUACGGGAGAUGUCUCUGACGGGUACGCUGUCUCUCGGAAAGAAAAGGAGAACUUUCCUCUGACACUGGAGUCAGCCAACAUCAACCAGACCUCCCUGUACCUCUGUGCCAGCAGUUUCUCACAGCACAGCACAGACAGCUGCUCUCUGCACAAAAAGGGGCAGCCACAAAAACGAGGAGCCUCCUCCCGGGAAGCCAAGAGGAAAACUGCCCCCGCCACCAGUGACCACGGAAGCCCUCGCCACACCCCAGCUUCCGGGACCCUCUGCCAUUGUUAAUGCCCACGGGCCAUUUCUCCUUUCCCCCCUGCUGUACAAAAGAGCUUAUCAAAGUUCAGGAAGGACAAGUCACCCUGAGA